CGUAUCCUACGGGGCGCAGCAGUGGGGAAUAUUGCACAAUGGGCGCAAGCCUGAUGCAGCAACGCCGCGUGAGCGAAGAAGGUCUUCGGAUCGUAAAGCUCUGUCCUUGAGGAAGAAGGAAGUGACGGUACCCAAGGAGGAAGCCCCGGUUAACUACGUGCCAGCAGCCGCGGUAAUACGUAGGGGGCAAGCGUUAUCCGGAAUUAUUGGGCGUAAAGAGUACGUAGGUGGUUUUGUAAGCGCGGGGUGAAAGGCUACGGCUCAACCGUAGUAAGCCUUUGAAACUGGGGAACUUGAGUGCAGGG
rnacentral:rRNA from 1 species